CUAUUAUUUCCUUUGGCCCAAAUCGAAAAACCUAAACCCUCAGCUCCCUCUUAUUUCCUUCCCCCAAUUCCCUCACCAUCUUCACAAAUUUUCCUCUCCCACAGCCUCUCUCGGUCAGUCCAGUCGGUCUCUCCUCUGCACUAAUCCCCCACCCCUUAAUCUCUUUGCAACAGAGGACAGGGUCAUGCCAUUGCCUACCCCUCAACCUCGCCAAUGCACAGAAGAAAGGCGUUGCUACUACUCAUUCGUCCCACAUCGCUGAAGAACGAGUCGCCAGUGAUUGGGUUUUUAGUUCACAGGUCUUUGGGUUUUCUUUUUCAAUUUUUUUUCUAAAUAUCUAACAUCUGGUUGUGAUUGAAGAUUUUGUUAACAUCUCGCUGAGAAGGUUAAAUUAAGUUCGUGUUUUGGACUUGGUGCCUGCCAAUUUAUCUAUUUCUUAAGUGGUGGGUUGAUGCUAGGGAUAUAGGUGAUGAAUCCAUUCCUAUUCGCUAGCGGCAACAUUUGAGCUAAUCAAGUUUGGGUGGUAUAAGAUGGAAGCAUUGGAAGUGUUUUUUUUUUCUCCAUUUUAGGUUCAUUCCUAAUGGUCAUACUAUCUCAACCCAUAUCACGGGCACCUUUAGGGAGUGACAGGAUGCUACUAGUUACACAUGGAAGGAUGUCUCUCCAUCUACUCGUGACUUCUACUUAUGGUCAUUAUUAUUUAUUUCUAACAAAAAUAUAUAUACUUACUAUUAUUGAUAUAAUUAUUUUAAUAAUCGAAAUACUGAUUUUUUAGAAAAAAAUAUCAAUGGAAUGCAACUGAUGAUGGCAUAAUUAACGACACUUGGGAUAAAGUGGUAUCUCUUCUAUACAAUAAGAAAUUAUACACUUGGCGGAAGAAAGGAACAAAACCUAUAGGUGUUGCACAAGAUGUAUGGGAUAGCUGGAUGGCACACUGGUCUACUCCAUAGUGGAUUGCUAAAUCUUGUAUUGCUUCUCAAAAUUGGCGUAGCGAGACUGAUAGUCUAGGCACUGGUUUAAGCAAGCAUACUGGUAAUUUCAGGUCUACUGUGGAGCACAGUCUGAAAAUGAAGAACUACACCGUGAUCCUAAUUCUUGGGAGCUGUUUAAAAAGUUGCAUAAAAAAAAGGAUGGAACCUUUGUUGAUGCCAGGUCUCAAAGCAUUAAUAUAAGUAAUUUUUAUAUUUCUUUUAUUUUCAUUUCAAUUAUUAUGCAUAUGAUAUAUUGUUAUUGUUAUUAGAUUUCAUUUCAUUUUUACUGUUAUUUGUAUCUUAUGAAUGUUUUAGAAGUGCUUGAGUUUGCGAGUAAAUUAUGUAGUUUUGGUGAUAUAAGGAGAAUAUUGGAAGUGAUAUGAUUCAUUGUAAUAUUGUUGAUUGACUAAUAUAAAUUGAGCAAUAUUGUUAAUGUUUUAGAAGUGCUUGUGUUUGUGUAUAAAUGUUGUAGUAGUGGAUGGUAUAAGGAGGAUAUUGGAAGUGUUAUUUUGUAUGUAGGAAUAUUAUUUUGCCUUCAUUAGCAGGUAUGAUAUGUCCUGUUACAGACGGUACUCUGUCGAAAUUUUCUUAAUUAUUAAGUUU
rnacentral:misc_RNA from 1 species